rnacentral:piRNA from 1 species
AUAUUCAAAAUAGCGUGGAUGUC